rnacentral:rRNA from 1 species
GAGCUUGCUCCCGGAUGUUAGCGGCGGACGGGUGAGUAACACGUGGGUAACCUGCCUGUAAGACUGGGAUAACUCCGGGAAACCGGAGCUAAUACCGGAUAGUUCCUUGAACCGCAUGGUUCAAGGAUGAAAGACGGUUUCGGCUGUCACUUACAGAUGGACCCGCGGCGCAUUAGCUAGUUGGUGAGGUAACGGCUCACCAAGGCGACGAUGCGUAGCCGACCUGAGAGGGUGAUCGGCCACACUGGGACUGAGACACGGCCCAGACUCCUACGGGAGGCAGCAGUAGGGAAUCUUCCGCAAUGGACGAAAGUCUGACGGAGCAACGCCGCGUGAGUGAUGAAGGUUUUCGGAUCGUAAAGCUCUGUUGUUAGGGAAGAACAAGUGCAAGAGUAACUGCUUGCACCUUGACGGUACCUAACCAGAAAGCCACGGCUAACUACGUGCCAGCAGCCGCGGUAAUACGUAGGUGGCAAGCGUUGUCCGGAAUUAUUGGGCGUAAAGGGCUCGCAGGCGGUUUCUUAAGUCUGAUGUGAAAGCCCCCGGCUCAACCGGGGAGGGUCAUUGGAAACUGGGAAACUUGAGUGCAGAAGAGGAGAGUGGAAUUCCACGUGUAGCGGUGAAAUGCGUAGAGAUGUGGAGGAACACCAGUGGCGAAGGCGACUCUCUGGUCUGUAACU